GUUUGAUCCUGGCUCAGAGUGAACGCUGGCGGCAGGCCUAAUACAUGCAAGUCGAACGGCAGCACAGUGGAGCUUGCUCCAUGGGUGGCGAGUGGCGGACGGGUGAGGAAUACAUGGGAAUCUGCCCAGUCGUGGGGGAUAACGUAUGGAAACGUACGCUAAUACCGCAUGCGCCCUUUGGGGGAAAGUCGGGGACCGCAAGGCCUGACGCGAUUGGAUGAGCCCAUGUUCGAUUAGCUAGUUGGCGGGGUAACGGCCCACCAAGGCGACGAUCGAUAGCUGGUCUGAGAGGAUGAUCAGCCACACUGGAACUGAGACACGGUCCAGACUCCUACGGGAGGCAGCAGUAGGGAAUAUUGGACAAUGGGCGCAAGCCUGAUCCAGCCAUGCCGCGUGAGUGAAGAAGGCCCUCGGGUUGUAAAGCUCUUUUGUUGGGGAAGAAAAGCAGUUGGUUAAUACCCGAUUGUUCUGACGGUACCCAAAGAAUAAGCACCGGCUAACUUCGUGCCAGCAGCCGCGGUAAUACGAAGGGUGCAAGCGUUACUCGGAAUUACUGGGCGUAAAGCGUGCGUAGGUGGUUGUUUAAGUCUGAUGUGAAAGCCCUGGGCUCAACCUGGGAAUGGCAUUGGAUACUGGAUAGCUAGAGUGCGGUAGAGGGUAGUGGAAUUCCCGGUGUAGCAGUGAAAUGCGUAGAGAUCGGGGAGGAAGGCC
rnacentral:rRNA from 1 species